rnacentral:rRNA from 1 species
CGACUUAUAUUCUGUAGCAAGGUUAACCGUAUAGGGGAGCCGUAGGGAAACCGAGUCUUAACCGGGCGUUAAGUUGCAGGGUAUAGACCCGAAACCCGGUGAUCUAGCCAUGGGCAGGUUGAAGGUUGGGUAACACUAACUGGAGGACCGAACCGACUAAUGUUGAAAAAUUAGCGGAUGACCUGUGGCUGGGGGUGAAAGGCCAAUCAAACCGGGAGAUAGCUGGUUCUCCCCGAAAGCUAUUUAGGUAGCGCCUCGUGAAUUCAUCUCCGGGGGUAGAGCACUGUUUCGGCUAGGGGGCCAUCCCGGCUUACCAACCCGAUGCAAACUGCGAAUACCGGAGAAUGUUAUCACGGGAGACACACGGCGGGUGCUAACGUCCGUCGUGAAGAGGGAAACAACCCAGACCGCCAGCUAAGGUCCCAAAGUCAUGGUUAAGUGGGAAACGAUGUGGGAAGGCCCAGACAGCCAGGAUGUUGGCUUAGAAGCAGCCAUCAUUUAAAGAAAGCGUAAUAGCUCACUGGUCGAGUCGGCCUGCGCGGAAGAUGUAACGGGGCUAAACCAUGCACCGAAGCUGCGGCAGCGACGCUUAUGCGUUGUUGGGUAGGGGAGCG